GAGCUUAGAGAGCUUGCUUUUUAGGCUUAGUGGCGAACGGGUGAGUAACGCGUGAGUAACCUGCCCUAGAGUGGGGGACAACAGUUGGAAACGACCGCUAAUACCGCAUAAGCCCACGGUACCGCAUGGCACUGAGGGAAAAGGAUUUAUUCGCUUUAGGAUGGACUCGCGUCCAAUUAGCUAGUUGGUGAGGUAACGGCCCACCAAGGCGACGAUUGGUAGCCGGACUGAGAGGUUGAACGGCCACAUUGGGACUGAGACACGGCCCAGACUCCUACGGGAGGCAGCAGUGGGGGAUAUUGCACAAUGGGGGAAACCCUGAUGCAGCGACGCCGCGUGGAGGAAGAAGGUUUUCGGAUUGUAAACUCCUGUCGUUAGGGACGAUAAUGACGGUACCUAACAAGAAAGCACCGGCUAACUACGUGCCAGCAGCCGCGGUAAAACGUAGGGUGCAAGCGUUGUCCGGAAUUACUGGGUGUAAAGGGAGCGCAGGCGGGAAGACAAGUUGGAAGUGAAAACCAUGGGCUCAACCCAUGAAUUGCUUUCAAAACUGUUUUUCUUGAGUAGUGCAGAGGUAGAUGGAAUUCCCGGUGUAGCGGUGGAAUGCGUAGAUAUCGGGAGGAACACCAGUGGCGAAGGCGGUCUACUGGGCACCAACUGACGCUGAGGCUCGAAAGCAUGGGUAGCAAACAGGAUUAGAUACCCUGGUAGUCCAUGCCGUAAACGAUGAUUACUAGGUGUUGGGGGAUUGACCCCCUCAGUGCCGCAGUUAACACAAUAAGUAAUCCACCUGGGGAGUACGACCGCAAGGUUGAAACUCAAAGGAAUUGACGGGGGCCCGCACAAGCAGUGGAGUAUGUGGUUUAAUUCGAAGCAACGCGAAGAACCUUACCAGGUCUUGACAUCCGAUGCAUAGCACAGAGAUGUGUGAAAUCCUUCGGGACAUCGAGACAGGUGGUGCAUGGUUGUCGUCAGCUCGUGUCGUGAGAUGUUGGGUUAAGUCCCGCAACGAGCGCAACCCUUAUUGCCAGUUACUACGUUAAGAGGACCCUGGCGAGACUGCCGUUGACAAAACGGAGGAAGGUGGGGAUGACGUCAAAUCAUCAUGCCCUUUAUGACCUGGGCUACACACGUACUACAAUGGCGUUUAACGAAGGAGAGGCAGACCGCGAGGUGGAGCAAANCUCAAAAAACACGUCUCAGUUCAGAUUGCAGGCUGCAACUCGCCUGCAUGAAGUCGGGAUUUGCUAGUAUCGCGGAUCAGCAUGCCGCGGUGAAUACGUUCCGGGCUUGUACACACGCCCGUGACACAUGAGAGCCGGGUGGACCUAAGUCGAAGUCUAACGCAAGGAGACGUCGCCGAGGUAAACUGGUGAUGGGGGGAGUCGAACAGGUUAUCUUAGGGCGAAUCGUUAAUCUGAGGAUAGUCCCUUAGGGGGGUAAUCUGGACUGGGGUAUCUGGGCAAGUGUUCUGCGAAAAUUUUACCCCAAAANNNCCCAAAAAAGAAGGUGGGNGGUUUUCCCCCCCGAGAACCCCCUUUAGAAAAAUCUCCGUUAAAAAAUGCCCUCGCACCUUAAAAUUUUCCAACACUUUUCUGGGAACUCUUGGGAAAAAAAAUUUGCCCCGGUUGGGGGGGGGUUCGCGGGAUUCCCCGCCCCCCUAAAAACCCUCGGGGGCGAA
rnacentral:rRNA from 1 species